ACGGAGGGUGCAAGCGUUGUCCGGAAUUAUUGGGUUUAAAGGGUGCGUAGGCGGCUUUUUAAGUCAGGGGUGAAAUCCCACAGCUUAACUGUGGAACUGCCCUUGAUACUGGGAAGCUUGAGUAUAGUAGAGGUAGGCGGAAUUGAAGGUGUAGCGGUGAAAUGCAUAGAUAUCUUCAAGAACACCAAUUGCGUAGGCAGCUUACUGGACUAUAACUGACGCUGAGGCACGAAAGCAUGGGGAGCGAACAGG
rnacentral:rRNA from 1 species